rnacentral:tRNA from 1 species
GCCUGGCUGGCUCAGUUGGACGAGCAUGCGACUCUUGAUCUCAUGGUCAUGAGUUCAAGCCCCACGUUGGGUA